CGUGUAGGCGGCCGCACAGGUCCGUUGUGAAAACUGGAGGCUUAACCUUCAGACGUCGAUGGAAACCGUGCGGCUAAAGUCCGGAAGAGGAGAAUGGAAUUCCUGGUGUAGCGGUGAAAUGCGCAGAUAUCAGGAAGAACACCCGUGGCUAAGGCGGUUCUCUAGUACGGUACUGACGCUGAGACGCGAAAGCGUGGGGAGCGAACA
rnacentral:rRNA from 1 species